AGAUUGAACGCUGGCGGCGUGCCUAACACAUGCAAGUCGAGCGGUAACAGGUGUAGCAAUACAUGCUGACGAGCGGCGAACGGGUGAGUAAUGCUUUGGAAUCUUCCCAGUAGUGGGGAAUAACCAGUCGAAAGAUUGGCUAAUACCGCAUACGUCUGUAAAGGGAAAGCGGGGGCUCGUAAGACCUCGCGCUAUUGGAUGAGCCAAAGUCGGAUUAGCUAGUUGGUGGGGUAAUGGCCUACCAAGGCGACAAUCCGUAGCUGGUCUGAGAGGACGACCAGCCACACCGGAACUGAGACACGGUCCGGACUCCUACGGGAGGCAGCAGUGGGGAAUAUUGGACAAUGGGGGAAACCCUGAUCCAGCGACGCCGCGUGUGUGAAGAAGGCCUGCGGGUUGUAAAGCACGUUUUAGUGGGGACAAAAAGCUACGGAUUAAUACUCUGUGGUCUUGAUUUAACCCAAAGAAAAGCACCGGCUAACUCUGUGCCAGCAGCCGC
rnacentral:rRNA from 1 species